rnacentral:rRNA from 1 species
AGGGUUUGAUCCUGGCUCAGGAUGAACGCUAGCGGCAGGCCUAACACAUGCAAGUCGAACGGUAACAGGGAAAAGCUUGCUUUUCCGCUGACGAGUGGCGCACGGGUGCGUAACGCGUAUACAAUCUACCUCUUACAGGGGGAUAGCCUUUAGAAAUGAAGAUUAAUACCCCAUGGCAUUAUAAACCGGCAUCGGUUUAUAAUUAAAGUUUCGGCGGUAGGAGAUGAGUAUGCGUUCUAUUAGCUAGUAGGUGUGGUAACGGCACACCUAGGCAACGAUAGAUAGGGGCCCUGAGAGGGGGAUCCCCCACACUGGUACUGAGACACGGACCAGACUCCUACGGGAGGCAGCAGUGAGGAAUAUUGGACAAUGGGCGGAAGCCUGAUCCAGCCAUGCCGCGUGCAGGAAGACUGCCCUAUGGGUUGUAAACUGCUUUUGUACAGGAAGAAACCUUUCCACGUGUGGAGAGCUGACGGUACUGUAAGAAUAAGCAUCGGCUAACUCCGUGCCAGCAGCCGCGGUAAUACGGAGGAUGCAAGCGUUAUCCGGAAUCAUUGGGUUUAAAGGGUCCGUAGGUGGAUUGGUCAGUCAGAGGUGAAAUCCUGCAGCUCAACUGUAGAACUGCCUUUGAUACUGCCGGUCUUGAAUUAUUGUGAAGUGGUUAGAAUAUGUAGUGUAGCGGUGAAAUGCAUAGAUAUUACAUAGAAUACCGAUUGCGAAGGCAGAUCACUAACAAUAUAUUGACACUGAUGGACGAAAGCGUGGGGAGCGAACGGGGAUUU